rnacentral:rRNA from 1 species
UACGGAAGGCAGCAGUGGGGAAUAUUGCACAAUGGGCGAAAGCCUGAUGCAGCUAUGCCGCGUGUAUGAAGAAGGCCUUAGGGUUGUAAAGUACUUUCAUCGGGGAGGAAAAACAAAACUAAUAAUUUUAUUUCUUGACGUUACCCGAAAAAGAAGCGCCGGCUAACUCCGUGCCAGCAGCCGCGGUAAUACGGAGGGUGCUAGCGUUAAUCAGAAUUACUGGGCGUAAAGAGCACGUAGGUGGUUUUUUUAAAGUCAGAUGUGAAAUCCCUGGGCUUAACCUAGGAACUGCAUUUUGAAACUGAAAUACUAGAGUAUCGUAGAGGGAGGUAGAAUUCUAGGUGUAGCGGUGAAAUGCGUAGAUAUCUGGAGGAAUACCUGUGGCGAAAGCGGCCUCCUAAACGAAUACUGACACUGAGGUGCGAAAGCGUGGGGAGCAAACAGGGAUUAGAUACC